CGGCAGGCUUAACACAUGCAAGUCGAGCGGUAACAGGAGUAAGCUUGCUUCUCGCUGACGAGCGGCGGACGGGUGAGUAAUACUUAGGAAUCUACCUAGUAGUGGGGGAUAGCACGGGGAAACUCGUAUUAAUACCGCAUACGACCUACGGGAGAAAGGGGGCAGUUUACUGCUCUCGCUAUUAGAUGAGCCUAAGUCGGAUUAGCUAGAUGGUGGGGUAAAGGCCUACCAUGGCGACGAUCUGUAGCUGGUCUGAGAGGAUGAUCAGCCACACCGGGACUGAGACACGGCCCGGACUCCUACGGGAGGCAGCAGUGGGGAAUAUUGGACAAUGGGGGAAACCCUGAUCCAGCCAUGCCGCGUGUGUGAAGAAGGCCUUUUGGUUGUAAAGCACUUUAAGCAGUGAAGAAGACUCCAUGGUUAAUACCCAUGGACGAUGACAUUAGCUGCAGAAUAAGCACCGGCUAACUCUGUGCCAGCAGCCGCGGUAAUA
rnacentral:rRNA from 1 species